AUUGAACGCUGGCGGCAGGCUUAACACAUGCAAGUCGAACGGGUGUAGCAAUACAUCAGUGGCAGACGGGUGAGUAAUACGUGGGAACCUUUCUAGGGGUACGGAACAACUCAGGGAAACUUGAGCUAAUACCGUAUACGUCCGUGAGGAGAAAGAUUUAUCGCCCUUAGACGGGCCCGCGUCGGAUUAGCUAGUUGGUGGGGUAACGGCCUACCAAGGCGACGAUCCGUAGCUGAUCUUAGAGGAUGAUCAGCCACACUGGGACUGAGACACGGCCCAGACUCCUACGGGAGGCAGCAGUGGGGAAUCUUGGACAAUGGGCGCAAGCCUGAUCCAGCCAUGCCGCGUGAGUGAAGAAGGUCUUCGGAUUGUAAAGCUCUUUUGCCAGGGACGAUAAUGACGGUACCUGGAGAAUAAGCCCCGGCAAACUUCGUGCCAGCAGCCGCAGUAACAC
rnacentral:rRNA from 1 species